GUGGAAUAAUGCACGAAUGGAUAAAAAAGAGUGAGAGGUCAGUGGAGAUCCGUGUCCAGGGGAGUGAUGCUAUUGCGAGUGUGAAAGGUUGUCCAGGAAGUAACUAAGAAGACAUGAACAGAGAGGUGGUGAUCCUCAGAGGAGCGAUGAAGUAGAGCAGCCAGCGCUCCAAGUAGAGCAGGCACUGUGGAAAAAUAGUUGUGACUCAACCAGACCAUUACAAAGUAUGGCCUGGAGGAUUUUCAUCUCAAGGUGCAAGAACAUUCUUAAUGACUGUACACGGCGGCUGCUGAUGGACGAUGUUGGGCCAGAUGUGCUACAGUUAGCGUUAAGGAGGUUGGAGACAAUGCAGAGAAGCCUUCGGUGGGCAAGAGGAAGACUGAUCAAUGUAACUGCAGCAGAUCAACUUCUGCGUGACUUGGCUGAAUUGAUUCAGGAGGUCGAACUGUCUACUCAGGAUGGCCAACAAGGCUGUUUUGGAUACCAGGCACCAGUGGUUUUCAACAGAGGUAGAGGAAGAUCCCUUUACCUUAUCACUCGGGAACAGCUUUCAUUCCUGAAGUCAUGUGGAUUCACUGCACCUCAGAUGGCUGAUAUUUUGAAUGUUUCACUUCGUACAAUUCGAAGACGUCUGCGACAGUAUCAUUUCACCCGUGCAUCAAUGUAUGCGGAACUGACUGACAGUGCCUUGGAUGAACAUGUGCAGGACAUUGUUGCUGGCAAUGAACAAAUUGGUCCUGAGGCUGUCAGAGCCUCCCUGCGAGUACGUGGACUACGUGUACAGCAAAGGAGGGUUGGAGCAAGCAUGUUACGGAUGAAUCCUGGAGCAGCUGCCCUUAGAGCAGUUUUGCGGAGACCAGAAUGA
rnacentral:lncRNA from 1 species